CCCCUCUCCUUCAACGCUGACUCUGACUCCACCCAUUCCAAGUACCUGGACGCGCAAUCAUGCACGAGCGCGAACACAGAUGCGCGAGAGCGAGCCAGGCUAGCUAGGUUGGACUAUAGCUCCAGUAGCUACCGCAGGAUAGCAACAAACAGAAGCUUUCUCUGGGUCACGAGCUUUGAGUACGUGCACGAAGGGGUCACGCGAGGGGGGAGGGGGAGUGCAGUACGAUCGUUUGAUUGACGUACUCACUGUCCAUUGCCACUCGGUGGUUCUGGAAAUUAUUGGCUGGAGUUUUUCGAGCCCUGCCCGUUCCACAGAUGAUUGACUUGUUUAAUUUUAAUGUCAGUACUUCUAACUCAGUGGCUGUAAUUGGGUUAUGAUAACGAUUUCAAGUAAUUUUGCAAAAAUUGCCAAAAAAGAGAAUUCCAUACCCAACCUUUGAUAUUUAGAUAUAGUUCUGUAUGUAAUCCUUCGGGUGGCUGUUGCCAACCACUGACAAAAUACUAAACAACUCUGGUACUAUGAUAAGAUUUGGCUCUUGAGAAUUAUCUCUGACAAAUCAUCUAAGAUGUUAGUUUGAUGUAUGGUGUUGAUUUCCAGUACUUUGUGACUGGAGGAGGGAACUGGAUGUACACACAAGUUAAAAUACCUUUUUCAAAUGUUAACAAUCAGAAAACAUGAGUUAGGGUUAAUGUAAGAGUUUAAUACUAUACGUCUCAGUUGCUAAUUAGUAAGCGUUUCAAACAAGUCACAAUUUAGGAUUUUGUUCACUCUGAGAACCAUGGUGAUAGGCCUACUAGGCUAAUGAAUUAACCAGGUACUUCUAAGUUAGUACCACUAACCAGGUACUUCCUGGCUAGUGUUACUAACCAGUGGUACCAGCAGUUGCGUUGAAAGGUGCUGUUGUCACUUGACAGAGUUAGGAAAACGUUGAGCAUGUAAGUUUAUGCCUAUUCAACUCUUGACGAUGUACAUUUUUAAAGGAAUGUUACUUUAUACUCUUAAGUUUCGCAACCUCCUUGUAUAUUACUGUAUAAAUAAGCCAAUUUACCAAAUUAUUUGGAAAUAUUUUUUAUAAAAAUCACAUUCCUCUGACCACAAAUAUAAAGAGUAUAUCUCACCAGGUACAAAUGUUUCAGCAAACGAGUGUAUUCGCAUGAACUGAUCUCUGCAGAGCAAAAAUAAGAUUUAUAUACGAUGGACUGCCUCAACACCUCUCCUUGUACUUACAUGUGUAGGAAAAGCCUAUUCUGUUAUUAUUUGUUUAUUUUAAAUUGCUUCCUGGCAUCAUAUAAAAGAAGACGCAACUCCAAGUAAGCUAGCACAACUCUGGAUAAGCUAGCACAACUCUGGGUAAGAUAGCACAACUCUGGAUAAGCUAGCACAACUCUGGGUAAGCUAGCUCUGCUAAUCCGUUGAUUGAGUAAGAAAUGCUUCAAAUGUUAACGGUCCUUUGCAGGGUAACUAUAGGCACACAAUCACACCAGCGAAUGACUUUCAAGCACUUUUGUGAUUUUGAAGAUCACGACGCGGCUUUGCUGUGUUUCUGGGGUCAGUGCAACUUGGUUCUGCCGGGGAUUAUAUCCCAACAUUAUUUUCUUCAGUAUUUUCCAAAUAUUGACAUUGUUAAAAAAAUGAUACCACAAGGGCUAAGUGUUUGUAUCAAGUUAUUAAUUAUAAAAUCAAAUGAAGUCCUUUAUAAUAUUUGUAUUACCUGCCAUUAAAGUGGUGAUCUCGAAGAUUUCCAGUUUAUUCUCUUUCCCGAUUAGCGGCCAUUAUUCCCAGAUAUACCAACACUGUCACCACUGACAAUCAGCUGGUAAUUUUCACGAUACUACAAAUGCAAGGGCUUGUUAUCACUGGGUCGUAGGCUCAACCACCAUGGUGACCAUCAGCGAUAGAUAAAUAUUUCUACGAAAAUCUUAAGAGAUUGGCACUUUAAGUCAAAUAUCCACAUUAAUAACCUUGGACCUGGGCAUUGAAACAUUACUUAAUGUUGUGUUAGUUUUUACUCCAUCGUUGAGAGCAACUCAAAGCUUAAAGGGCCCCUAUUUACUAACUUUUACCCUCGAGUGACAUCACAAGUGGCAGUGUCUCUACUUGUGAGGUCACUAUGGGUAGAAAGGUACAUUUCUUAGUAAGAGGGAAAAAAACGAAGCUAAAGGAUUGGACAGGUAUUUUCUAAGACAAUAGUGGUUCAUGUACGUCACACGGAAUCGCAGCGUUUUGUUGAGUAAAUGUCUCAUGAAUCACCUUGUGGAAUAACUGUGGGUAAAUCUACUUGUUCCUAUUUUUGAUUUCUCGUCUGGAAUUCUCCCGUCAGUUUCUUUGAAUGAGCCUGAACUUCUCCAUCAUUCGAGACUGAACCGAAGGGUCAGAGAAGUGAAGUGUUCAUUACGUUUGUUUAAAGAUGCUAAAAUGUUGGUUUGGUUCCAGUGUGUCCGUCUGACCUGAGCUUCUGGCCUGUGCGCGGUUGCAUGGUGAAUCUUUGAUUUCAAGUUUGACUCUUUUUAAAUGGCAUGCGAUGUCAACAAGAGCGCGGAAUACACUGCCACACCUGACCACGGUUUCUGCUCGGAAACAAAUCCGAUUUCUACGGCCAUCUCUGCCCUUUGAGCGCAGAAACCCUGAAGAUAUUGUACAUAAGAAUGUAAAAAUUCCAGAGUAAACAUUCUUUUAUUUUAUAUGUUAAAAAAGAUAUAAAUAUAUAAAUAUGUGUUACAAGAUUUUAAAACGGAAGUGAUUUUGUAACAGAUGAAGUGUCUUACUAGCGAACGUUCACGUUGUGUUGCACUGUCACUCGAAUGGCUCGUUGGGUAUUUUCUGUAUUCACCAUCAAAAUAAGCUUUAAAAUAUUGUUGACAUUGUUUUGAAAUAAAUGAAUAAACGUGUUUACAUUCCAAAAUGUUAUUGGAUACAAAUUAUAUAAUGUUCCGUUCAAUUAUUUAUGUGUUGUGAAUUUCAGUUGAAAUAAAUAUUUUUAAGCGUA
ensembl:lncRNA